CACAGGUGAACUGGAUGUGUUUAUUCAAUGUGUUUUUGGAAUGCAUGUGUAAAUAAAAAUGACUGUGUCAUACUUCCCAUAUUCAUCCCGGAACCUCCUAGAGUUCCCUUAGGUUCUGCCAAUUGUACAUUGAAAGUACAACAGGCCCGUCGUGGGGAUUAAUUUUCAUUGAACAUUUCUAGGAGGAGGGAGGAGGAGGUGGGGGGAAUGUGACAGUCUCAACAACAGUUGCUAUACUACUCUUACCAAAGUGGUUUUCCUAUGUACUUCUCAACAGAUCGGCCCUUUCUUCAAAUAAGAGCAGUUGGAACAACAAAAGCUGUUCAGUUGUACCCUUGGAAUCCACGGAAAUCCUGGGUAGGGAAGCUCCAGUACCACCAACUGGAAAGACUGGGAAUGCCUAGUAGCUGGUACUGGCCAUUGUCGUAGGCUUUGUCCACUUUGACAAACUGAAGACGGGGACUCGACUCACCUUCGCCAGCCACAGGAGGACCUCCAGACGAGGACCGGACUCGCCGCCUUUCUUUCCCGUCAGAAAGGGAUCCCUUGCGGACAAGACCGAAUGGCCCCUAAGGCUUCUCUGCAGGUCCAACCGAAACAGGCCUGAAGUUCCAGGAUGGGCGAGAGGAUCCUCUUUGAGCGAAACCAGCCUUCUGCCUGGCUGGCCCUGGUCAACACACUCGGAAGAGGCCGAUUUGGAGGACAGAACGGAAGAAAAGACCUAAAGUAGAUGAUCCUCAUCCAAUCACUUAAAGGCCUGAAUAGAACCAAAAGUCUGACCUGCCCAUGAGUAAGAGAGAGCUCCUUCUGCCUGAUUGCUUCAGCUGAGAUAUCAGCCUUUUCCUGCCUUUGGAAUUGAACUGCAACACUGGCUCUUCCUGGGCCUCAAGCCUGCCAGCUUUUGAACUGUAAUCACACCAUCAUCUCUCCUGGUUCUCAGGCCUUUGGACUCAAAUCAGAAACACACCAUGGGCUCUCCUGUGUCUCAAGCUUGCCAACUGUGAUCUUGAGACUUCUCAGCCUCCAUAAUCACAUGAGUCAAUUGUUGGUUCUGUUUCUCUGGAGAACCCUAAUCCAUCACUUUACAUAUUUCUUCCAUUACACAUAUUGUUUCCCAGCAUAUUAAAUAAUUUACUGAUUAUA
rnacentral:lncRNA from 1 species